rnacentral:lncRNA from 1 species
AUCUAUCACCUUAGAAUAUCGAUACGAAAAAUAUACUAAAAAUUUACAUUUUCUCAUAACUGCUGAAAAAUAUAAAAAAUAAUAAUUCGUAAACGUCUGAAAUAUAUAAAAAUCAAGAAAAAACAUAAAAACACCUCAAAAAUAUCCUGAAUCGCACUUGCCACCUUAGAAUAUCGAUACGAAUAAAAUAUCAAAAAUUUAAAUUUAUUCGUGACUACUCGAAAAAUAUCAAUAUUUUUAAUUCGUAAAUGUCCAAAAAAUAUAAAUAUCAAGAAAAAGACACAAAAACACAUCAAAAAAUUAUCGAAUCGCAGCUGUCACCUUAUUCACAAAGGUCCGAAAAAUAUAAAAAUCAAGAAAAAGACAAAAAAACACCUCAAAAAAUUCCCGAAUCCCAC